ACGGAUAUUUAUCACUUUUCCUUUCUCUUCUCUUCCCAACCUAAGUCAUCUUCUCAACCAAGACAAAAGGACUCUCCUAGUUAAGCUUCAUCGAUUCUCAUUUGUUCACUUUACAAAGUCAUAUUAUUAUCGGAGUAUUGAGAGGAAAAUAUGACCAAAAUCUCCCUGAAAAAUUCUGUUGUGAAGCAAUCAUCAAUGAAGCAAGAGUCACUUUCAAGGUUCACUCUUUCACUUUGUUAGGUUUUGAUGUUUAACUUCAUAUUUUAUGUUAAAUUCAAAAGACUGUUACAAUUGGUUUGUUGAAUCUACCACCCUCCAUAAUUUUUCAUUGCCACCCUUCAUAAUUUUUCAUCUUUAAUAUCUUGUCUUGCUUAAACAUGUUUCUAUGUGUUAAUUACGAAUUCUAGCUUCUUAAAAUUGUUAUUGUGUUCCAACAAAUGGAGAGUCCUUAAUUCUCAAGUCAUGGUCUAUUUUGUUUAAUAUCAUUAUAUUGUAACUAGUCUAUGCCUCAUCAUGUGAAUAUAUAUUACUUGAAAUUUUGUUUCUUCUAUUAGUAAUCAAUGUCAUGUCGCAUUUUGCUGAAAGAAUUGAUGUGCUUGCUGGUGUAACUUGUAUUUUAAUUUUAAAACUAAAAGGCUGGGGUAUUUUAUAAUAGAAUUAAUCAACGUGUUUCAGUACUUCAAGUUAAAAGAAAGUUUGGUUUGGAGCUGAUGAAGUCAACGGGAUUUUUAGCUUACUAAUGUUAUAUAUUUUACUUUCCUGAGGCCCAUUCUUUUGGUUUUUACUUUACUCUAUAUUGAAAUAAUUUAAGUACAUUCACUUGAGGGCUAUUUGUGUUAUAUUUUUUGCUUUUGGAUUAUUUGCAUAAAUAUUAUUUAAAAUUUGAUAAGAAUGAGAGCUUGGCAUAUCUUUUAAUUUAUUUUAUAGGACAAAAUUUAAUUUUUUAUGUAGUUAUCACUAUCAUAGUGAUUCAUGUGCUUCUUUUAAUGUUUCAAUUUAUCAACUCAUGAUUUAGUAUUAGUUUCGAAUGGGUAAUGUGAAUCAUCUUUUUACUUAUAUGUUGUUUUAAUUAAAAAUCUUUAUUACUUUAGUAUUUUCACUUUUUUUAUAUUGGUCAAACGUUAAGAAUAGACAUACUCUCACUCCCUUUAAAUAUUUUUACAUAUAUACUACAAUUGAAUCAUAUCACUGCAAGUUCAAUCACAAGAAGGGAGGAGUCAAUGCAUGAUGAAGAUCAAAUGGAGUAAUCGCCCCCAAGCGGGGAUCAUGUACGUAUUGGGAGAUAAUGACAAAAAAGACAGACUAUAGCUGACUUCUCAUAUGAAGCACAUAUAGCUUUAUUAAAAUUUAAAGCACCUCGUUACUCAGGAAAAUUGAAGGAAAUGUGACAUUUAAGUCUUGAAUGAAGGAUUGGGGAUAUUGACUAGCUUAAAGGGUCAAACAUAAUUAAGAAACUUGAUUAGGUUAAUUGUGAACUUGAUUAAUAUUUUCAAAACUUUUUAAUCUUUUCAAAAAUACAAAUCAACUCACACCCAUCUCCUCUCCAAAUCAACCGUCUCUCCUCUCUCUCUCCCUCUCUCAACAGUUUCUCCCAACCAACAGUUCUAUAAAUUUUUCCUUUCAAUUCCCAGUGACUUCAACCUCCGGCGACAAAUAGUUGAGUUUCAUUACAAAUAUCGACUUUCAACUGUCAAUUGACGUGACAACCUUGCUCUCCAUCCACAACUGCUUCGAGUUCUUCUCGUCCCUUUUCUUCUUUCACAUGUAAAAAAUUGUGGCCUUUUUAGUUUUGAAGAAAAAGUGGAACUUGAGCCAACUUCUCUUCUAGUAUUGAUUAAUAGUUUCAAUAGUUGUUACUUUAAUUUAAAAUGUGGUCUGAAUAAAACCCUAAUUUCUAGUAUUUCUUCUCUUCUCUUUUCGGAGUGAAAUAUGAUUUUUUAUUGUUUGUUGCAUUUUUUAAAGUUUGAUUUUUGUUGUUUGUGUUUAUACAAACAAAACAACGAUGUUGGUGUUUUUGGCGUUGCACCCAUUGCUGGGUUGAUUUGUUAGUGUUCUUGAUAAAAAUAGUGAUAUUGUUAUUGUUCUAUUGAACAAAAUCAUGCUACUAUUUUUUUCUGCAACAACUUAACUUUCUGAUGCAACAGAUUAACCAUCUGAUACAAUAGAUUAACCAUCUGAUGCAAUAGAUUUACUAUCUGAUCAAUAAAUUAACCAUCUGAUGCAACAAAUUUACCAUAUAAUGCAAUAGAUUAACUAGCUGAUGCACUAGAGGAACCGUGUGAUUAAAAAUUUGAUACAACGGAUUAACUAUUUGUUGCAAUAGAUUUACCAUAUGAUGCAACAAAUCAACCAUCUGAUGCAAUAAAGGAAUAAUCAGAUUAAAAUCUAAUGCAAUAGAUAAACCAUCUAAUGUAAUAGAUUUACCAUUAGAUUAAAAAUAUGAUGCAUUAGUUUAACCAUAUGAUGCAAUAGAUUAACUAUUUAAUGCAAUAGAGGAGACAUCCGAUUAAAAAUCUAAUGCAACAGAUUAGCCAUCUGAUGCAACAAAUUUACCAUCUGAUGUAAUGGAGGAACCAUCGAAUUAAAAAUCUAAUGCAAUGGAUUAAUCAUCUGAUGCAAUAGAUGAACCUUCUGCUAGAUAAAAUCCUAUCAACUAUUCCAACAGGACAUGUCCAAGACUUGAUUUUUUCAAUUGAUCAUUCAUCUGUCGUGAUAGAUGACUUUUCUAUUGGAAGAAAUCUAAAUAAUAUUGACUGUUGAUAACAGUUCUAAUAGAUCACUCAUAUGUUGCAACAAAUGUAUGAUUUGUUGCACAAACCAGUCACCUGUUUCAAUAAAUGAGUGAUUUAUUUUUAUUGUUGUAAUGAAUUACGCAUUCGUUGUAAUUAGUUAGUUAAAUGUUGCAACAUAUCACUCAUAUGUUACAAUAGAUGUGUGAUCUAUUGCACAGACCAAUCAUCUGUUUUAACAGAUGAGUGAUCUAUUUUUAUUGUUACAACAGAUUACUUAUUCGUUGCAGCAUGUUAGUUAUAUGUUACAACAGAUAACCUACCUGGUGCAACAGAUGUGUGAUUUAUUGGAAUUGUUAUUUUAUUAUUUACAUGUUAGAUAUAUUGUUAUCCUUUUUUAACGAUACAUUAAUCAUUUAUAAUCUAUUUUAUGAUCCUAUUACUUUUAGAUUAUAUAGCUCUCAAAAGAAUAAAAACCGAAUCAAGUCCAAGUAAAGGAACAAGUGAAGCGGCUAGGCUACAUCCACCACUCUAUGAGCUUACUUUACAAGCGUUAUCUCAAUCAGAUGCAGAAGAUAAUGAAUAUGGGGAGGAGGAAUAUUUCAAAAUAGAUGAUCCAAAUUCUAAUAGUUCUUCCAUCGUAAAGUUGGUCAAAACCUUUAGUACUAAUAGUUAUCAUGUGAGAAUGCAGUGCGAUGCCCGACAGAUUUAAUGGGUGAUUUUGUGAUUAAGUCAGCCACGGAAAAAUCUUUUGACGCCUUCAAAAUAUUACUUUGAGAAUAAAAUUUGGAUACUUAUUUCAAGGACAACUGUUUUGGGCAAUAUCUUGAUUUG
rnacentral:lncRNA from 1 species